ACCACUAGCACUGAACGAUUGGAGCUGCUAGAUGAUGAGGAGCAUAUAUUUAGGAUGACGAUUGUUGGAGGAGAUCAUCGACUUAAGAACUACUCUUCCAUCAUUACUGUCCAUCCAGAGGUCAUCGAUGGGAGACCAGGGACAAUGGUCAUUGAGUCAUUUGUGGUUGAUGUGCCAGAAGGGAACACUAAGGAUGAAACAUUAUACUUUGUUGAGGCCCUAAUCAAAUGUAACCUGAAGUCACUGGCUAAUGUGUCAGAACAUUUGGCUGUGCAAGACCGAACUGAGCCCAUUGACAGAAUCUGAAGCAUGUGGGGCAGGCUACCAGUGC
rnacentral:misc_RNA from 1 species